rnacentral:rRNA from 1 species
UACAGAGGUCCCAAACGUUGCUCGGAAUCAUUGGGCGUAAAGCGCACGUAGGUGGUCGUUUAAGUUGGAUGUGAAAGCCCUCGGCUCAACUGGGGAGGGUCACGCGAUACUGAUCGACUCGAAGGCAGGAGAGGGAAGUGGAAUUCCCGGUGUAGUGGUGAAAUGCGUAGAUAUCGGGAGGAACACCAGUGGCGAAGGCGACUUCCUGGCCUGUUCUUGACGCUGAGGCGCGAAAGCUAGGGGAGCAAACGGG